rnacentral:tRNA from 1 species
GCCUCUGUUGCUCAGUUGGUUAGAGCGCUGCACCGGAAUCGCAGGGCCGUAGGUUCAAUUCCUACCAGAGGAC